rnacentral:rRNA from 1 species
GGUUAAGCGACUAAGCGUAUACGGUGGAUGCCUUGGCAGUCAGAGGCGAUGAAGGACGUAGUAACUUGCGAAAAGCGUUGGCGAGCUAGUAACAAGCAUUUGAGCUAACGAUGUCCGAAUGGGGGAACCCGGCCGCAUAAGCGGUCAUCAUGUAGUGAAUACAUAGCUACAUGAGGCGAACGAGGGGAACUGAAACAUCUAAGUACCCUUAGGAAAAGAAAUCAACCGAGAUUCCCCUAGUAGCGGCGAGCGAACGGGGAUUAGCCC